rnacentral:lncRNA from 1 species
CGGCGGUACCACAAAGUCAGCCACCUGGAUCCUCACACCUUCUGCCUCCCUGACCAGGGAGAAGGAGGCUGCCCACAGGGCCCUGGGGCCGCUUGCCUUCCACUUUUCAUUCAACAAACGUCAUUAGCUUCUGACCCUGUGCCAGGCACCAAGCCAGGCUCAAAAUGUAGAUGAGGAAAGACAGAGCCCAGGCUGCCUGAGCAGGAGCUAAGCACCAGUUAGUCAUUCUCUCCUGGCGGAGGGCCUACUGUGUGUCCCGGGCUGCAAGUGAACAACAGGACAAAACGCCCUGGCCUCGCGGAGCUGAUCCUGCCCUGCCCUGUAACUCGGGUGUCUCCGCGGGCCGAGCCUGGCACACAAUGAGAGCAGUGAGGCACAGAGAAGGUGACCGCCUGAGGUAUCUCGGUUGAUGGAAUCUCACUCUGUUGCCUAGGCCAGAUGGAGUGCAGUAGCACGAUCUCAGCUCACUGCAGCUUCUGCCUCCCGGGUUCAAGCAACUCUCCUGCUUCAGCCUCCUGAGUAGUGAGAUUACAGGCUGCACCACAACGCCCAGCUAAUUUUUCUAUCUUUAGUAGAGAGGGGGUUUCACCAUGUUGGCCAGGCUGGUCUGGAACUGUUGACCUUAGGUGAUCCGCCUGCCUCGGCCUCCCAAAGUGCUGGGAUUACAGAUAUGAGCCACCGCAUCCGGCCUAUUCUGCUAGCCUAUUCUGCUAAUUUUUAAGUCUGUGCAACUUUCAAGGGAAAUUAAAUCCCGAUAUGCCCUACUCAUUUUACACCAAAGUCAUCAAAAUGUGGCUUUCAACGCCCCUUUGAAGUCCUAAAACUAGACUUGGUCAAGAGGCCCAAGUGUUUUAAGUGCAUCGGAAACAAAGAAACAUGUUAAUAAAAUGUUUCCUUCUUGGCAGCAUCCUGGUGAGUGCCUCCCUGGGUUGCAAAGGGAAAUGUGAUGAGGAAGAGGUGGGCUUGUGUGCUUUGAAGUGGGCAGGGCCUGGGAAUCUCUACAGGGCAGUGCAGCUGCUGUCCGCUU